UAGCUUGUGACUGGAGUUCAGACGUGUGCUCUUCCGAUCUGAAACAUCUCAGUAAGCGGAGGAAUAGAAAGAGAAAUCGAUUCCGUAAGUAGCGGCGAGCGAAAGCGGAACAGCCCAAACCGGUGACUUCGGUUACCGGGGUUGUAGGGCCUCAAUAUGGUAUCUUAACAGUUAGGUGAAGCGCGUGGAAAAGCGUUCCCAAGAGGGUGACAGGCCCGUAACCGAAAACUGAAGAGAACCUAGAGUGUCCCUGAGUAAUACGGCACACGUGAAACGCCGUAUGAAUCUGUGCGGACCACCGCAUAAGGCUAAAUACUAGAUAGCGACCGAUAGUGAACAAGUACUGUGAAGGAAAGGUGAAAAGUACCCCUGCGAGGGGAGUGAAAUAGAUCCUGAAACCGUGUGCCUACAAGGUGUGAGAGCAGGCUUGUCCUGUGAUCGCGUGCCUUUUGCCUAAUGAGUCUGCGAGUUAGUAUCAGUGGCAAGCUUAAGUCCUUCUGGGACGUAGGCGUAGCGAAAGCGAGUCCGAAUAGGGCGAACAUAAGUCGCUGGUGUUAGACCCGAAGCGGAGGUGAUCUACCCUUGACCAGGUUGAAGCUUGAGUAAAAUCAAGUGGAGGACCGAACCGGUGUCUGUUGAAAAAGGCUCGGAUGAGUUGAGGGUAGGAGUGAAAGGCUAAUCAAACCCCGUGAUAGCUGGUUCUCCUCGAAAUGUAUUUAGGUACAGCGUCACGUGUUGAUCUACGGGGGUAGAGCACUGAAUGAGCUAGGGGGCAUACCCGCUUACCAAACUCAAUCAAACUCCGAAUACCGUAGAGUAGAGCGUGGCAGUGAGACAGUGGGGGAUAAGCUUCAUUGUCAAAAGGGAAAGAACCCAGAUCAGCAGCUAAGGUGCCUAAAUACCGCUCAGUGGAAAGGAGGUGAGAUCUCAUAGACAGUGAGGAUGUUGGCUUAGAGGCAGCCACCAUUUAAACAAUGCGUAAUAGCUGACUCAUCGAGAGAUCUUGCGCCGAAAAUAAUUGGCGAUAAGCGGUAUACCGAAGCUCUGGAUGUUAUGUUUCUACGGAAACAUGGCGUGGUAGAGGAGCAUUGUUAGAACAUUGAAGCGCGAUGGCGACUGACCGUGGAGAUCUAACAAGUGAGAAUGCAGACAUGAGUAACGAUAAGACGGGUUAAAUCCCCGUCCGCCGUAAACCCAAGGAUUCCUGGGCAAUGCUAAUCAUCCCAGGGUUAGUCGGGACCUAAGCCGAGGCCGAAGGGCGUAGGCGAUGGAAAGCAGGUUAAUAUUCCUGCACGUCCGAAACUUAACCCAGAAGGACGCAUUCCUAGAGAGAUAAUACCGACUGAUAGUGGUAGAGGGGAAACUUCGGUGGAACCUAUCUUCUCGACGGGAGUGCCAAGAAAAGUUCUGGUGCAUGCUAAGGACCCCGUACCGUAAACCGACACAGGUGGGUGAGUAGAAUAUACUAAGGCGUAAGAGUGAAACCUCGUUAAGGAACUCGGCAAUCUAGCCCCGUAACUUAGGGAUAAGGGGUCCCAAUCUUCGGAUUGGGCGCAGUGAAAGGGGCCAACCGACUGUUUAGCAAAAACACAGCAUUCUGCUAAGACGAAAGUCGACGUAUAGGAUGUGACACGUGACCAAUGCCAAAAGAUUAAGGUAAGAUGUUAGCCCUUGAGGCGAAGCUUUGAACCCAAGUCCUGGUGAAUGUCGGCCGUAACAAUAACGGUCCUAAGGUAGCGAAAUUCCUUGUCGGGUAAGUUCCG
rnacentral:rRNA from 1 species